UACGUAGGGGGCAAGCGUUAUCCGGAUUUACUGGGUGUAAAGGGAGCGCAGGCGGCACGGCAAGCCUGAUGUGAAAGCCCGCGGCCCAACCGCGGGACUGCAUUGGGAACUACCGGGCUGGAGUGCCGGAGAGGUAGGCGGAAUUCCUAGUGUGGCGGUGAAAUGCGUAGAUAUUAGGAGGAACACCAGUGGCGAAGGCGGCCUACUGGACGGUGACUGACGCUGAGGCUCGAAAGCGUGGGGAGCAAACAGG
rnacentral:rRNA from 1 species